UUGGAGGGCAAGUCUGGUGCCAGCAGCCGCGGUAAUUCAGCUCCAAUAGCGUAUAUUAAAGUUGUUGCAGUUAAAAAGCUCGUAGUUGAAUUUCGAGAUCAAAUUGUUGGUCGUGCCUCGGUACGUACUGGCAUUAUUGAUUUCUCCCUUCUGAAGAACCUUGAUGUCAUUAAUUUGGUGUCUUGGGGAAUCAGGACCGUUACUUUGAAAAAAUUAGAGUGUUUAAAGCAGGCUCACGCUUGAAUACAUUAGCAUGGAAUAAUGAAAUAGGACGUUUGAUUCUAUUUUGUUGGUUCCUAGGAUCGACGUAAUGAUUAAUAGGGAUAGUAGGGGGCAUUAGUAUUCAAUUGUCAGAGGUGAAAUUCUUGGAUUUAUUGAAGACUAACUACUGCGAAAGCAUUUGCCAAGGAUGUUUUCAUUAAUCAAGAACGAAAGUUAGGGGAUCGAAGACGAUCAGAUACCGUCGUAGUCUUAACCAUAAACUAUGCCGACUAGGGAUCGGAUGAUGUUAAUUUUUUAAUGACUCAUUCGGCGCCUUACGGGAAACCAAAGUGUUUGGGUUC
rnacentral:rRNA from 1 species